AACGAACAGUUACACCUGAAAGUGAACUGGCUACAACAUGUCGAGGCACAAAAUGAGGAUCUUCAAGCAAAAUUGGAAGAAUAUGAAGAGCAACACCAGAACAUGCAAGCAGAUUUAGAACAAGCUACCAAGGGACAAACUUCCCAGACAAGUGAAUCUGAAUCUGCAGAGGAACUGCACAGCCGCCUGAU